CCAUGGUUCAUGCUGCACAUUUGGAUGUGCGCCAUUAGUGCAAGAGGACUCUCAUCAGCUCAUGCAUAAUGUCUUGAUCUCUACGAUGACUUGUGGCGUGCUAGUGAGACACUGGCACGCAGCACGUGCUAUCCUAUGCCAGCGAUGAGCGUUACUGCUUACCUUGUGAAUAGCGUGUGAUUGGGGACGAGAGCCACCUAGUCUUGGAGCGCUGUGCAGUCUGAUAGAAACACCCUGCAGACCCUGAGAAUUUAUUUGAGACCAUGCAGCACUUCAUGGAGUGCCAGAAAUUUGACAUUGCCUAUUUUGCAUAUUUUUCAUAGCUAGCUAGCUAGUGAUAGUCUAUAGAUUCUGAUAGUUGGGGGAUAGUUAUUUUGAUCUCGU
rnacentral:lncRNA from 1 species